rnacentral:lncRNA from 1 species
CACACACACGAGAAGGGGGAAGAGAAGUACAGAUGUAAUUUCCUUUUCUUUUUUUUUUUAAACUUCACUGCUCUGAGUCAGAAGCCAGAAUGGAUGUCCUACUUGUAGUCAUAGCUGCUGUGCCGCUCAUCUUGGGACAAGAAUAUGAGGAAGAACAAAUAUAUGAAGGAAUAUAUGAAGAUUAUCAGGUGGUCUAUUACACAGUCACUCCAUAUUACGAUGACUUUGGAGUCAACUUUACCCUUGACUAUUCCCAAUUUGAGGAGGAGGAUAGAAUGAGCAUUGAGAAACAAACUAUAACUCAAGCAGGAGACAGGAAGGUUAAUCCUGAGAAAAAACUUCCAGACAAUGGCAUACAGAAGACAACAGAAAAAGCCAGUACUCAGUCCACUACACCAAAGGAGAGAUUAUACACAGAGAAGAACUGGGGCCAAGAAGGAAAAGAAGAUGGCCCCAGGGACAGAAAAGAAUCUACCACAGAGGCACCUUCAGCUAUGGAUGCUGCUGUGCCCACUCUGCAGCAUCACCUCCCACUCCUCCUUCUGCCCUGGGUUCUGCUGAGGUGGAUAUUGCUACUUUAGAAGGAGAGAGAAGGCUGCCAUGACUUCUUUGAAAAGGGGGUGGGGGGGGAGUGGAGUGCAGAAACUGGAAAAAGAAAUAAAUAAUUGAACCACAAACGUUAUCU